rnacentral:tRNA from 1 species
GGCCGGUUGGCCCAAUGGCAAGGCGUCUGACUACGAUUCCUUUCCAACGAAAGACUCGUGUAAUCAGGAGAUUCUGGGUUCGACCCCCAGGCUGGUCA